rnacentral:rRNA from 1 species
UACGGAGGGUGCGAGCGUUGUCCGGAAUCACUGGGCGUAAAGGGCGCGUAGGCGGCCUUCUAAGUCGGACGUGAAAUCCCCGGGCUCAACCCGGGAACUGCGUCCGAUACUGGAAGGCUUGAAUCCGGGAGAGGGAUGCGGAAUUCCAGGUGUAGCGGUGAAAUGCGUAGAUAUCUGGAGGAACACCGGUGGCGAAGGCGGCAUCCUGGACCGGCAUUGACGCUGAGGCGCGAAAGCCAGGGGAGCAAACGGG